UACGGAGGGUGCGAGCGUUAAUCGGAAUCACUGGGCGUAAAGCGCGCGUAGGCGGUUUUGUAAGUCAGAUGUGAAAGCCCUCGGCUCAACCGGGGAAUUGCAUUUGAAACUGCAGAACUUGAGUACUGGAGAGGAUGGCGGAAUUCCAGGUGUAGGAGUGAAAUCCGUAGAUAUCUGGAGGAACACCAGUGGCGAAGGCGGCCAUCUGGACAGUAACUGACGCUGAGGUGCGAAAGUGUGGGGAGCAAACAGG
rnacentral:rRNA from 1 species